GACGUAGGGUGCAAGCGUUAAUCGGAAUUACUGGGCGUAAAGCGUGCGCAGGCGGUUAUGCAAGACAGAUGUGAAAUCCCCGGGCUUAACCUGGGAACCGCAUUUGUGACUGCAUAGCUGGAGUACGGCAGAGGGGGAUGGAAUUCCGCGUGUAGCAGUGAAAUGCGUAGAUAUCUGGAGGAACACCGGUGGCGAAGGCGGCAUCCUGGACCAACACUGACGCUGAUGAGCGAAAGCCAGGGGAGCAAACGGG
rnacentral:rRNA from 1 species